rnacentral:tRNA from 13 species
GUCCGCGUGGCCCAAUGGAUAAGGCGUCUGACUUCGAAUCAGAAGAUUGCAGGUUCGAGUCCUGUCGCGGGCG